rnacentral:rRNA from 1 species
GGAGUAUGGGCCGUUCUCAGUCCCAUUGUGGCUGUUCAACCUCUCAGUCCAGCUACGCAUCAUCGCCUUGGUGGGCCUUUAUCUCACCAACUAGCUAAUGCGCCGCAGGCCCCUCUUAUGGUGGAUUGCUCCUUUAAACAUUUAAGCAUGUGCUUUAUAAUGUCCUAUCCAGUAUUAUCCUUCGUUUCCAAAGGUUAUCCUCGUCCUUAAGGUAGGUUACCUACGUGUUACUCACCCGUUCGCCAUGGAAAAGCAAGCUCUUCCAUUCGACUUGCAUGUAUUAGGCAUGCCGCCAGCGUUAAUC